CAGAUACAGGAAUGAUGAUUCAAAAGAGCAAAAUGUCGCUAAGCGUUUGACAUCUUCUUUGACUUAUUUCGAUAAACUCAAUCAAGACGGAUGCGAGGAUAAAGUUCUAUGUGAAUUACUCGUCAGCGCUUCAUUUUCCAAGAAUGCCGAAAGACAUAUCAGAAAUUUGUUGGAUAACUUCAUACAACAAGAGGACUUACAAAAUAAAAAGGACGAUCUGCUGAAAAUUUUUGAAGCUGUGAAAAACCAGGACUGUUCUCCGAUCUUAUGUGGAAACAUAAAAAAUCCAACAUAAAAACAA